AAGCUCGUAGUUGAAUUUCGGGGUUAGUAGGUUGGUCAUGCCUCUGGUAUGUACUGGUCUCACUGAUUUCUCCUUCCUUAUGAACCGUAAUGCCAUUAAUUUGGUGUUGCGGGGAAUUUGGACUGUUACUUUGAAAAAAUUAGAGUGUUUAAAGCAAGCUAACGCUUGAAUACAUUAGCAUGGAAUAAUGAAAUAGGACGUUCGAUCUUAUUUUGUUUGGUUUUCUUAGGAUUGACGUAAUGAUUAAUAGGGAUAGUUGGG
rnacentral:rRNA from 1 species